rnacentral:rRNA from 1 species
UGGAGCAUGUGGUUUAAUUCGACGCAACGCGAAGAACCUUACCAGGGCUUGACAUCCCCUGACCGCGUAUGAAAGUACGUUUUCACCCUCGGGUGACAGGGAGACAGGUGGUGCAUGGUUGUCGUCAGCUCGUGUCGUGAGAUGUUGGGUUAAGUCCCGCAACGAGCGCAACCCCUACGUUUAGUUGCUAACGCGUGAAGGCGAGCACUCUAGACGAACUGCCGUUGACAAGACGGAGGAAGGUGGGGAUGACGUCAAAUCAUCAUGCCCCUUAUGUUCUGGGCUACACACGUGCUACAAUGGCCGGUACAGACGGAGGCGAAGCCGCGAGGCGGAGCAAAUCCGAAAAAGCCGGUCUCAGUUCGGAUUGCAGGCUGCAAUUCGCCUGCAUGAAGUCGGAAUCGCUAGUAAUCGCAGGUCAGCAUACUCGCGGUCGAAUACGUUCCGGGCCUU